GGACAAACCUAGCCUCCCAGCCAGGACUGGCUGGCCUCGGCUAAAUAUAUUGAAAAGAAAAAACACCUUUUGACAGAUGGGAGCAGAAGACACAAAACCAGGUCCCUCCCAAGUGCAG